AGAUUGAACGCUGGCGGCAUGCUUUACACAUGCAAGUCGAACGGCAGCACGGGGGCAACCCUGGUGGCGAGUGGCGAACGGGUGAGUAAUGCAUCGGAACGUAUCCUUAAGUGGGGGAUAACGCAUCGAAAGAUGCGCUAAUACCGCAUAAUCUCUAAGGAGAAAAGCAGGGGAUCGCAAGACCUUGCGCUUUUGGAGCGGCCGAUGUCUGAUUAGCUAGUUGGUGAGGUAAAGGCUUACCAAGGCUUCGAUCAGUAGCUGGUCUGAGAGGACGACCAGCCACACUGGGACUGAGACACGGCCCAGACUCCUACGGGAGGCAGCAGUGGGGAAUUUUGGACAAUGGGGGCAACCCUGAUCCAGCCAUGCCGCGUGAGUGAAGAAGGCCGUUCGGUUGUAAGUCUCUUUCAGUCCGGAACGAAACGGUACACGGUUAAUAACCGUGACUACUGACGUACCGAAGAAGAAGCACGCUAACUACGUGCCAGCAGCCGCGGUAAC
rnacentral:rRNA from 1 species